UGGCAGACCCUUUAGACUCUCCUGGAGAU
rnacentral:piRNA from 1 species